rnacentral:rRNA from 1 species
UGCCAGCCGCCGCGGUAAUACGAAGGGGGCUAGCGUUGUCCGGAAUUACUGGGCGUAAAGCGCGCGUAGGCGGACUGAUUAGUUGAGGGUGAAAGCCCGGGGCUCAACCCCGGAACUGCCUUCAAAACUGUCAGUCUUGAGAUCGGAAGAGGUGAGCGGAAUUCCUAGUGUAGAGGUGAAAUUCGUAGAUAUUAGGAAGAACACCGGUGGCGAAGGCGGCUCACUGGUUCGAUACUGACGCUGAGGCGCGAAAGCGUGGGGAGCAAACAGGAUUAGAUA